ACAUCCAGAGCUGCUGAGAACAGCUGCAGAUGACUGACUCAGUGUGUUUGCAUAUGUGUGCUGCCUCUCUGCUUCCAGCAGUUAAGAGCUCAGUGUUGAUCAGUGGCUGUCCAGACCUUUCAGAGACACUGACACACCUGCAGCACAAUGAGGAUGUCACUGACUCUGCUGCUGGCUGUCCUGGAGCUCCUUGUUCAGGGUUCAUCAGGUGAAAUCACUGUGACUCAGACUCCUGGAUCUCAGUCUGUUGUUCCAGAACAAACUGUCUCCAUUAGAUGUCAAACCAGUUCAGGUGUUGGAAACCACAUCGGAUGGUACCUUCAGAAAUCUGGAGAAGCUCCUAAACUCCUGAUGUAUGCUUCAACUCGUCAGUCUGGAGUUUCUGAUCGUUUUCGUGGAAGUGGAUCUGGCAGUGAUUUUACUCUGACCAUCAGUGGAGUUCAGGCUGAAGAUUCAGGAGUUUAUUACUGUCAGCAGGGUAGCAGCUUGUUCACACAGUGAAACAACGUCGUACAAAAACCUCUUUCAGCUAAAGAGGAACUGAU